CAUGAUUAGAGAGAGAAGUUGCAGGGAAUGGAAAUUCAUUGGAACUCUCACACCAAGUUCCAUUUUGGAUUGGAUUCUCCCAUGUUUAUUCUUCCUAGUACGCCCAAAGAGCCAUUGGCAUUGUACAGACAUAGUAAUAAGUAGAGAUAUAUGUCUUGGACAAAAAAAAAAGAUAUAUGUCAAAAGGUUAAUAUAAAGCUCAGGGCAAGAUAGGUGCAACUGGCAACCUUCCCGACACAACGGCUUGGGAGACAUACAACGCCUUGACAAAAUCGUCGAACCUAUAUAUCAGUAUGCACUUCUCUGAAGCACGGCAGCUAAGGCUCCUCCUUGCUAACUUUACCAAGUGCUUGCUGAGCAAACAGCAACUCCUCUCGCUCUCGUUUCUUCGCCAAGGCCUCCUCAUCGAGCACUUGGAUAGGUGACCAUUCGGGUACAGUAAACCAGUCUUUCUUAUCAACGGACAAAUGCUCUUUCCAAUCACGCCAUUCAGGGCUUAGCUUCAUCGCGGCGUAGUCCAG
rnacentral:lncRNA from 1 species